CCUGACGACCAUAGCAAGGUGGUACCACUCCUUCCCAUCCCGAACAGGACAGUGAAACGCCUUCGCGCCGAUGAUAGUGGACGGACGUCUGUGAAAGUAGGUCAUCGUCAGGCUUUUAUUCCG
rnacentral:rRNA from 1 species